GCGUCGCCCGUGGCCAAGCUUGCAAGCCAAGAGUCGUCUUCAAGCGUCAGCCCACCACCGGUCCCUGAGUAUGUUGAAGACGCCGUCGUUGUCGAGCUUGUCGAGGAAUCUCUCGAUGAUUUCUGGCUGCGUGGUCGAGGGGCGGAUCCUGGGCAGAAGGUGAUGGUAUAGUCGGCGCCGCCGGCGCAGGUGAAGGUGGAAGUGGGAUCGUCGAAGGCGUAGCUGUAGGAUUUAGGGCACGCCGAUUUGAACAUCUGGGAGUAGGUCGACGGGCGACAGGUGGCAGGGCUGGCGUAAGCGCCGCUGCAGCAGAACUCCGGCGUCCCGAAGGCCUCGCAUGCGCUCCGGCACGCUCCGCCCUCGGCGACUCGUAGCUCGGCCGGGCACAUUCGAUUGAGGUCCACCACGCAACCGGUGGCGGCGCAGGACCCCCCGGCGCCGGGGGUGCCGCUGGCUUCCACCACCAUCGGGAGGUUGUAACCGUCCACGAGGCUGACGUCGUAAAAGUCCUGCCCGGCGGAAGAGGGCGCGAGGGUGAACUCGGCGAGCGUCGCAGGAGGGGCCGCGCCGGCACCGUUGCACUCCACCUGGCCGGACCCGCAGUCGCCGGUGGCGCAGGACCAGGCGCCGCCGGAGGCGGCAGCGGAGCAGCCGGUCCGCGCCCAGAACCGCCCAGACCACCCCGUGGGCGGCUGAAAGGCGCGGGAAGAUGCCGCCGGGAGCUCGAAACCGGUGGACUCCAGCGCCGGGCUGCCGGCGUUGGACAAGAUCCCGGGCCAAACAGUUUGCCCGCACUUGUUCACAAACGUGAAUGUGCUCGCCUCCGCUGCAAAAUCAUCCGCCAAAAAACAUUAAAAACAAACCAUAAAAAAAAAUCUCAUUUUGUCCCCAAAUCGCGAACCAAUCAUCUCAAAACGUUACCUCCUCGGAACAUCAACAGCAGCAGGCGAACGGCGAACCGUACAAGGCAGAAUGAGCCCAGAGAAACCAGAGUGCCCAUGAGAUGUUCGUUGAAAUGCCUGUGAAGCUUCUUCUUCCUCUUCUACUAGGUUUUAGCGGCGGAGCAAAAACGGUGCCCGAGAUGCGACUUCUCGGAGUAGCUGUAAGCAACGGCGACAAAGAAGCAGAAAUGGUGCGGAAUGUGGAGGCCACCGCCACCAUUCACUGGGCAACGGAGGAAAUAGAGGGAAGGGGAAAUCUAAUUGCCGUCGAACUUGGCCAUUAAAUAGAAAAAACUUGGGGGUUGUUGCAUCGCCAAUUCCCAUUUAUUAUUAUUACUAAUGGAAUAAACAAAAUCAGAUGAAUACUGCUUUGCUUA